rnacentral:rRNA from 1 species
CCUACGGGAGGCAGCAGUGAGGAAUAUUGGUCAAUGGGCGGGAGCCUGAACCAGCCAAGUCGCGUGAGGGAAGACGGUCCUAUGGAUUGUAAACCUCUUUAGGCGGGGAGCAAUGCCGGGCACGCGUGCCCGGAGGGAGAGUACCCGCAGAAUAAGCAUCGGCUAACUCCGUGCCAGCAGCCGCGGUAAUACGGAGGAUGCGAGCGUUAUCCGGAUUUAUUGGGUUUAAAGGGUGCGUAGGCGGAUUGUUAAGUCAGCGGUAAAAUGUCCGGGCUCAACCCGGGCCGGCCGUUGAAACUGGGGAGCUUGAGUGGGCGAGAAGUAUGCGGAAUGCGUGGUGUAGCGGUGAAAUGCAUAGAUAUCACGCAGAACUCCGAUUGCGAAGGUAGCAUACCGGCGCCCGACUGACGCUGAGGCACGAAAGCGUGGGGAUCGAACAGGAUUAGAUACCCCUGUAGUC